rnacentral:lncRNA from 1 species
UGUUAAUUCAAUUAUCUGAUGGAAAACUUUUAGCCCCUGAAUAGGGGUCAACCCAUGGACAGCUCUUAACAGGACUCAGGCUUCCAAAGGUAGUUCAUACUUGACCUCAUCUCUUCCAUGCGUACCCUCUGCUUUAUCCUUUCCACUUCCUUUUUGUUACAGAAAGAAACAAACAGCAGGGCUCAUGUUAGACUCAGAGUUCUUUCCCACACACUCUCUUAAGUGCAAGGUGGACUUGACAUUCCAAAGAGCUCCAGAACUCAUGCCUGCAAACUCAUUCUGGGGCCCUGGGGCUGACCUCCAGUUCCAGAAAAGCAGCCUGUGAGAGAUUUGAAAUUACCCAGGACCAGCACAUUUGACGGUAACAAAUAUGAAGAAAUAAUUCCUGGAUCCGGAAGGGAAGAGGAGGUGUCGGGAUACUACAAAGAAUUAUCAAGUAGUCUAGAUAAUAAACAGAUACAUCAGUACCUCUUACCCAUCAUUCUAAAUCUUCAGUGAUCAGUCACUAACCCUCAUACACAUUUAAAAUUUGGCAAAGCAUUUUUCAAAGGAAUUGCUUGUAUAAAUGGGGAACCCACACAAAAAAAAAAUACUUGACUGGCUGGGCGCAGUGGCUCACAUCUGUAAUCCCAGCACUUUGGGAGGUGGGUGGACCACAAGGUCAGAAGUUCAAGAGCAGCCUGGCCAAUACGGUGAAACCCCGUC